rfam:Salmo salar isolate Sally breed double haploid chromosome ssa24, whole genome shotgun sequence.
UGCAUUCACUACUGUAAGUCGCUCUGGAUAAGAGCGUCUGCUAAAUGUAAUGUA